CUAAUACGAAGUCUUCAGGUUCUGUAAGAGAAGAUAUACCCCGUACGGUCGUCUGAAUCGCCCGGCUAAGACAUUUCUAUAUCAAUGACUGUGGGAUCCUCAAGUUCAAGUAAUUCCGCCGGUCUAAUAAAUGUAAGCUUCCCACCAUAGCCGAAUUGUGAAGCUCAAGAAUUUGUUUUGUACUGUUCAUCUCAGCCGUAGUUCCAUGUUUGAUAUAUAGCCUGAAUGUUCUGCCCAAAAUGUACAGUACCACAGGACUAUAUAGGGGUCGUUGGAAAGCAUCGGACUGAAUCAACGAUGGAUAGGGGCCACUUUACCAACUAAGUCAUUAUCGGAGUCCUCCUCUUCCACACCGAGGGAGUUUAUGCACGGCGAUUCUGAACAAAUCCAAUCAAGAUUUCUUAAUGUCGGAGUCCUAAUACGGAGAC
rnacentral:sRNA from 2 species